UUGCUCCUCCUCAAACCCCAAGCCAGCUCCUCCAUUUGCUCAUCGUCAAGUUUCGCUGUGCUGCCAAAUGAUACAUAAGCAACAGACCCUUUUGGCCUUUCGUUUAACCAUUUGAUGCAGGCAUCAUUGUCUGAUUUAAAGAGGUUGACACCGUAUUCUUUGUCAUCUUCAAGUCGCUCAUCUAAGUACUUGGAUGGUAUAGUAGGUCCAACGGUCCUCAAUGGCCAAAACUUAGCCAGCCAAUCCACCACCUAAGCAAAGAAUUAAUACCAAUUAGUUUCAUUGAAGCUUAUAAAAAUUAAUCAUAUAUCAGAGUUGAGAAGAAAAAAAAAAAAAAAGCUUAUGUACUCACUUGUUCUUCCAACUCAUAAAAUGUGUUGCAGAGGACCCAAUCAGCUUUGUCAACAUUGGAGAACUGACCCACAACCACUCUGUAAAAAGCUGGGCAAUACUCCAAAUCGUAUACAAACGAUGGCAAGUCCAGAGGGUCAAGUGGUGGCAACCCAGGAAGGGAAAUCAGAGACUGAUCAUCUGCAAGAGGAACUUUAAAAAGUCCUUUGUGGACAUGGUAGUAGAUGUUGCUAACAGCACAAGACUGGGUGAAGAAAGUAGCCCCGGCAAUUCCAAACUUCCUGGCAACAUCCAGAGGCCAAGGCAUGAACGCAUCAUAAAUAACACAAUCAACUGGAGGCCCUGAGCUUGAAAGCUUCUCAAGGAGCUCAGCCAAAGUUUUUGACCCUUCUUUCCAAAAGCUCUCCAAAUAGGCAUCUAUGCUUGCUUCUCCUGUCCCAGCUUCAUCAUAGCCAUCGGAGAUGGUCUCCAGAUCCAGCGCUAUGCAGCUCGAUGCUGACCCGUACAUAGUCUUGUGGAUAUAGCGGGUAGUGACCAGUGUGACUUUAACUCCUUUGUGAGCUAAAAGCUUGGCAAAUUGGAGCAUAGGAUUAAUGUGGCCUUGGCAAGGAAAGGGUAAGACCAAGCAGUGACCUUUGUAGGCUAUCUGUCGUUUCUCCAUUUCUCUGUCUACUCUGAAAUUAGAAGGCAAUGUGAGUGAAAUUUGUGUGUUUCGGAAAAGUGGUAGCGGCAAAUUAUAUAGGGGAAAAUGAAGUGCACAAACUGUCCACGAUACUGCAGUUCUAGAAAACUAUGGAAGACGGCUUUAGGGGCGUGCAAGGUGGGCCCUUGCACAUGACCCCAAUUUUUAGAGGUUUCCUAAUUCAUCUUUACACAUGGUCCCUUGCAUAUGAAGGUGAGACGGUUUCUUUUAAGUUGAUACCACAUAAUGUAUUAAUACAUUAAAAUUACAUAUAAUAGGAGCUCUUGAUUAAUACUAAAUCAAUGGUUACAUAUAUUUUUUUUGGGUUAAUUAUAAUUAAUAAUUUGAUACAUCAUGGGUUUUUUUAAAAUUAUAUGUUACUUGUUGAAUUAUUUGUUUCAUAAUCCUUUAGCUAUUGAUGACUACAGUGGCGGACUUAUUAAGGCGCAAGGAGGUGCAACUGCACUUCUCCUUACUCAAAAAACCAUUGUAGGUGCUUCAAAUGGCUCCUUUGUUCAACUGGUGGUGGUGCACAGUGCACAGUGCACAGAGCACAGAUUACCGUAUUUCCAUUUUGAGCAUUUGAGUAAAUGUCUUUGUCAUUUUACUUUCAUUUAUUGUUAUUACUCCAUUUACUUAAGUUUACAAUGUAAAUAAGAAUUUCCACCAAAUCAAAAUAUGAAAAAUCGUUUUUAGUGCAAAAUACGAUUUAUGCUAAAAAUGAUGGCACCUUAAGUCAAAAUAUACCAUAAUAAAAUUCCAUAAAAUCAAGUUUUCUUAUUUGAUGUGUAAGGAAUAAAGGCUGCUAAAAAUUAUCUUGAGAAAAUGAUUGUUUCGAAAAAUAUUUUUCAUACUUAGACAAUAUUUUUACAUAAAACAAUUUUUCAUGUAUGAUAUGAAUGCAUGAAGGGACCUAAGGUCAAUCUAAGUAAAAAAAAACCUAGAUGUUCAAUCCACAAAGAGUUUUUUUCUUUCAAAAUUGCAUAUUUGCUAAAAAAUUCUUGGGUUCGCCAGUGGAUGAGUAGUUUUAAAUUUGCUAUCAAUAUAUAUGGUCCAUUUCUUUUUUAUAUAAUUUUGUUCAAGACUUGUGACACCUAAAAUCUCAUACCAACCCUUACAGUGUAAUAUAAAGUGGAAAAGAAAGAUAGGAAAUUAUUAUAUAAUCACCCUUUGGUCUUGAGGUCUUCUUAUACAUAGUGCAUAAAAAUAUAGAAUCAUUUCAAAUUAAAUAAGUAAUUAAAUAGCCUCUGGUAGGGGUGUGUAUCGUUUCGAAAUCAAUGUAAUUUAGCAAAUUUGCAUUCGAUUCAAUAUAUAUUGAAUUAUGAAUUUUUUUUUCCAAUCCAAUCCGAUCUGACUAGAGGUUUAAAUCCAAUAUCCGAUCCAAUUGAUAUUGGAUUGGAUGAUCGAUUUUCUUAAUUAAAAAACAUAAUUAUGAAAUAUGAAAUAUUUAUCGUUAUGUUUAAUAAAAUCAAACAUUUUACUAGACGUAAAUGUAAAAUAUAAAUGAAAUGCUAGAGAAAAUUGUUUUGAUUCUAUAAUAUAUUAAAUAUAACUCCAUCAAAUGAUUUAAAAUGUUCAUAACUUUCUCAAUUACAAACAAAAUAAUCUCGAAACUAACUAGAUUGGAUUGGAUUCUCACAAACAAAUUCACCAUCCGAUCCAAUUAUGUCUGUUUUGGAAAUUAGAGAUCCAAUCCAAUUCGCCAAAUUAUCAAAAUUAAUUAAAAUUGUAUUACAUCAAUCGAUUUGGACAGAUUGGAUUGAAUCUUGCACACCCAUAGUCUCUGUUUUUCUUGAUCUGAUCCGGGUUGCUAGAUCCCUAAACUGUCACAAAAAUUAGAUUCUACGCCUCCUCCAUCUCAUCCCUAUCCCACUUGGGCUACAACUUACAGGCCUAGUUUAUAUACAAUUGAGACAUGUUGGUUUAUAAUUUUAUUGACACCACAGAAAAAAAAAGAGAAUCCAAAGGAUAAUACAGCAAAGACAAACCAACCCAAAGAGAAAAAUAAAUCCUUGAAAGCAAGCCUGUCUUGUAUUGUAUGAGCAAAGACAUAGGCAAGGGCUGUGAGCCUGUGACAGAAUUUGGCAUAAGACUGCUACCAAGAAAUAACAAUUGGAUUCUUUUCUUCCUAAACAAUUGGAAGAGCCCAGCAGUCUUUUGGAUGUUUAAGGUUGACAACACCAUCAUUAUUAGCAAGAUUCCGCAGCUUCCUUACAAACACCACCCACUUUGGCGAUGUCCACACCAGGCUGUGGCUCCAAAAUCUUCAUUUGGAGCUCCGGUGGAAGGCUCAUGAGGCUCCGUGGGGCAGGCAAACCGGGCCUUUGCGCAAAGAUCAAUCAGCAAUGGCAAUGUGAUCCCAUCCUUCACAAUCUUCCAAAACUCAAAAACCUCUCUUUCUGAGACUAACCCAUCUCUCUCAUUCACAUUUCUGUUUUCCCAAACAGCUCUGAAAUUUCAACACAACCCCAUCAACCCCAUUACCAUUAUUGCCACGAUUUUGAGUUUCUUCUGCUCUCUUUUAUUUUUUUAUUUCGAGAAGACAAUGACAAAAACUAAACUCUCAAGAUGGGACUAUUGAUAUGUCAUCAAUGAUGUAUCGAUGUAUAUGAACAAUGCGGUCUUUAAUUGAAGACACAGAAAUUUUGCCAUCACUGAGGCGAUAAAUCGUCACUUUUGCAACACAAGUACUAGGAUGAAAAGAAAUAUUGAUAAAUUGACAACAGCUUGUUGACAAGAUUUGGCAUAAAAAUAUUAUUGGAACCACACAUAGUGCCUAAAGCUGUUUUUACUUGUGGGGGCUUUUCUAACACAUGGCUAUCAUCACUGAACCAGCUUUGAAAUGAACUCAUCAAUGUUUUUGUCUGAACUUCCACCUUCAUCCACUGCCUUUCUAGCCAACUUUUUCCAUUUGAGGGCGUUGAUUUUCAUUUCUUUCCCUCUCUCUCCCUCCAUUAUUUCACUUAUGCAAUGUUCCACUACUUCUUGUCUCACCUUCCCUUUCUCAUCAGAUGGAGCUGUGAUCCCUAUUUUCCACACAUCCAUAAUGAACUUGGCAUUGGUUCUUUGGUCAGUCCAUUGUGGCAUUGCCAACAUUGGAACCCCCAAACUCAAAGCCUCCAAAGUUGAGUUCCAACCACAAUGUGUAACAAAGCAUCCAACAGCCUCAUGAACCAAAACCUCCAUUUGGGAGCACCAUGAGACCACCAAACCCUUCUCCGAUGUCUCCUCGAUGAACCCUUUUGGCACCUUAGCUGCUUCUGAUGCUCUAACCACCCACAAGAAGUUACUUUUGCUCCUCCUCAAACCCCAAGCCAGCUCCUCCAUUUGCUCAUCGUCAAGUUUCGCUGCGCUGCCAAAUGAUACAUAAGCAACAGACCCUUUUGGCCUUUCGUUUAACCAUUUGAUGCAGGCAUCAUUGUCUGAUUUAAAGAGGUUGACACCGUAUUCUUUGUCAUCUUCAAGUCGCUCAUCUAAGUACUUGGAUGGUAUAGUAGGUCCAACGGUCCUCAAUGGCCAAAACUUAGCCAGCCAAUCCACCACU
rnacentral:lncRNA from 1 species